UGAAGCGGAAAAGCUCAAUUUGAAAGCUAGCACCUUCGGUGCUUCGCGUUGUAAUUUGAAGAUAGUUUCCUUGAGUAGUCCUUUAUCUAUGUUCCUUGGAACAGGACGUCAUAGAGGGUGAGAACCCCGUAUGAUUUUGGAUACUACUCUUUGUGGGAUUCUAUCGAAGAGUCG
rnacentral:rRNA from 1 species